UGGGGAAUUUUGCACAAUGGGGGAAACCCUGAUGCAGCGACGCCGCGUGAUUUAGAAGGCCUUCGGGUUGUAAAAAUCUUUUGUAUGGGAAGAAAAUGACAGUACCAUACGAAUAAGGACCGGCUAAUUACGUGCCAGCAGCCGCGGUAAUACGUAAGGUCCGAGCGUUGUCCGGAAUCAUUGGGCGUAAAGGGUACGUAGGCGGAUAAGCAAGUUAGAAGUGAAAUCCUAUAGCUCAACUAUAGUAAGCUUUUAAAACUGCUCAUCUUGAGGUAUGGAAGGGAAAGUGGAAUUCCUAGUAUAGCGGUGAAAUGCGCAGAUAUUAGGAGGAAUACCGGUGGCGAAGGCGACUUUCUGGCCAUAUACUGACGCUGAGGUACGAAAGCGUGGGUAGCAAACAGG
rnacentral:rRNA from 1 species